rnacentral:rRNA from 1 species
UCCGUAGGUGAACCUGCGGAAGGAUCACUAGUGAAAUGGCGCCCGCGCAGGGCUGCCCACUUCAUCCUUACCCUGUGAAAACGGUCUCUUUUAAACUCAGAGUGACGAAUGUAAAUCAUACUAAACAAAACAAAACUUUCAGCAACGGAUCUCUUGGCUCCCGCAUCGAUGAAGAACGCAGCGAAACGCGAAAUGUAAUGUGAAUUGCAGAAUUUACGUGAAUCAUCGAAUCUUUGAACGCAUCUUGCGCUCUUUGGCAUUCCGAAGAGCAUGCUUGUUUGAGUGUCGCAAACCUCUCACGCCCCGGGUCUUAACCGAACCGCGCGGCUGUGGACCGUGGCCGUCUGGCCGGCGCUUGUCGUCGGCCCGGCCGAAAUACAUGCGGAGCGCCUCUGCUGCCCGCGACGACCGAGCGUUGUAGACCCCUCGCUUGAUCGGCGUGAGCGCAGGCUCCCAAACCUAUCUAUUCGACCUCAAAUCAAGUAAGACUACCCGCUGAACUUAAGCAUAUCAAUAAGCGGAGGAAAAG